rnacentral:rRNA from 1 species
GACAACUUCUAACGGUGGACCCCUCGGCUCGUGCAUCGAUGAAGAACGCAGCAAGCUGCGAUACCUAGUGUGAAUUGCAGAAUUCAGUGAAUCAUCGAGUCUUUGAACGCAAAUGGCGCUCCUGGCUCCCCCCAGGAGCACGUCUGUCUGAGCG